rnacentral:lncRNA from 1 species
GCCUGAGUUGUUGGAGUUUGUUGGAGACUGGCCUUCAGAGGAGGCAGGUCCCAGAGGCAGCCAAUCAGAAGGGCUUCCUGGUAGCGGGCCUCAUGUCACAGAGUUCCAGAAGCUUCUAGAGCUCUUACAGACAGGUGUUGACUCCCACCCUCUGCCCACCUGCCCUUCCCCCAUCCUCUCCCCCUUCUCCCCGAGCUCACACCAUUCAGUUGGAGGAGAAGGAGGAGAGAGGGGUGAGGCAGGGGGGAGGAGAGGGGAGGCUGAUAAAGACCGAGUCCUGAGUCGGGAGGAAUUACCUGACUGUGUGGUGGUUGAAUCCAACACCGUGGAGCAGAGGGAGGGAGAGACCAUCCAGGUCGCCGUAGAGGGGGGGACGACUCGGGGUUUAGUUGAGGAAGACUUGGUGGAGGUAGAGGGAAGCCAUCCUGGUAAGGUAGAUCGAGGCCAUGUUGGUGAGGUCAGUCAGUGUACUGAUGCUAGUGAGACCAGGAUGGAAGGUGAAGUCGGCCAUCUUGGUGGGGGCAGUCAGUGUGCUGAUAGUGACAGCCAUAUUGGUGAGGGCAGUGAGGAAGCUGGUGAAGACAGCCAUGUUGGUGAG